AUCUGCUCCUCUCUAAUCUCCUGAGUUACUGCUUCUGAAAUGAGUCUCUUACAUCUCUGUAUUUCUCUGGUUAAAUCUUCUCUGUCUUGGUCAGUGGCUUCAGAACCUCAAGUCAAGCUUUGAAGAUCACUCAACUCUUCCCCCAACACUACAACAAAUGAGGUUGGGAGAAAAUAAGAUGUGAAUCUGUAAUCUUCAUAUGUCAAGAAAGUUAACCAGUAUCAAGAUCUGACUAAAAAUAAGCAUCACGGACCACUGAAAGAGAAAAUGGUCAGCAACAAGUUGAGUAACUCUGACAAAUUGCCAUGGAGCUUGUAGGAGAAAUAGAUACUGACCAAGAUGUUCCAUAGAACUGAUACUCCAAAGUAGCCAUGGAAAGUAAAAAUGAAGAAAGACAGGAUUGGAUUCUAAGGCACAUAAGAAAGACCUGCUCAGAUUUCCUUCGAAUGCUCACAGUGCUCUGUUAGAAAAGGAAACGGGCCUCCGGAAUGAACCCCUAGGCAGAACUGCAGCUCCUUCUGAGCCUGUAAAAAUGGUAAUGAGUUGCUUACUCUCUGAGUCAUGGUGUACUCAGCUCCAGAGAAUUAUUUUCACCAUUUUGGACUUAUUAGCACUGGACAUUAACCAGGGUAAUCUAUAUUAAAGUCUCUAUGUCUAGUGGUA